rnacentral:rRNA from 1 species
UCCAGACUCCUACGGGAGGCAGCAGUGGGGGAUAUUGCACAAUGGGGGGAACCCUGAUGCAGCGACGCCGCGUGGGUGAAGGAGCGUUUCGGCGCGUAAAGCCCUAUCGGCAGGGAAGAAGGAGGACGGUACCUGACUAAGAAGCCCCGGCUAACUACGUGCCAGCAGCCGCGGUAAUACGUAGGGGGCAAGCGUUAUCCGGAUUUACUGGGUGUAAAGGGGGCGCAGACGGCAGCGCAAGCCAGGAGUGAAAGCCCGGGGCCCAACCCCGGGACUGCUCUUGGAACUGCGCGGCUGGAGUGCAGGAGGGGCAGGCGGAAUUCCUGGUGUAGCGGUGAAAUGCGUAGAUAUCAGGAGGAACACCGGCGGCGAAGGCGGCCUGCUGGACCGCGACUGACGUUGAGGCUCGAAAGCGUGGGGAGCAAACAGGAUUAGAUACCCUUGUAA